GGGGAAUUUUCCGCAAUGGGCGAAAGCCUGACGGAGCAAUACCGCGUGGGGGAGGAAGGUUCUUGGAUUGUAAACCCCUUUUCUCAGGGAAGAAGAAGUGACGGUACCUGAGGAAUCAGCAUCGGCUAACUCCGUGCCAGCAGCCGCGGUAAUACGGAGGAUGCAAGCGUUAUCCGGAAUGAUUGGGCGUAAAGCGUCCGCAGGUGGCAGUUCAAGUCUGCGGUCAAAGACUGGGGCUCAACCCUGGAAAGGCAGUGGAAACUGGACAGCUAGAGGAUGGUGGGGGUAGAGGGAAUUCCCAGUGUAGCGGUGAAAUGCGUAGAGAUUGGGAAGAACACCGGUGGCGAAAGCGCUCUGCUAGACCAUAACUGACACUCAGGGACGAAAGCUAGGGGAGCGAAAGGGAUUAGAUACCCCUGUAGUC
rnacentral:rRNA from 1 species